GCCUGAACUUUCUCAUCCAACACCCGUUCAAGUCGGAGGAUGCUGAUUAAUUCAUGAUGGAAAGGUAUCAAUUUCACAGCCCAGACCUCUACAUUCUUGAAAUGCUCUUCUCAUGGGAGACAUUAAAUAAGCUUUGAAUUAACUGAAGAACCAAUGAUGUGAUCCCUGGAUACUGGCAAUUGUUGCCCAAGAAAACCUCUCCCCUUGCUGUGGGACUGCUGGGCACCCAAAUAAUGCACCCAAAUAAUUUGAUAGCUCUUGUUACACAGCUCUUCUUGGACUAAAAGGCCCUCAGCAUUCCUGUCAAUUUCUACACUCCUGAAGCUUCAUCUGACCUCUGUGGAUUCUAUAACUCAAAGACCCAGGCUGACGGCUGGUGGAAUAGCUACCAUCUCAAACAUGGCGUGAUGCUGCAUCAGAGAGAAAAAUAAGCUCUUGCAUUGACAAUGAAAUGUCUACCCUGUAGUGACUUGUGCUUACUUCCACUCACAAGUGAUUGCCCAGAGCUACUUACCUGGCUCCAAUCUACCACUGGGACCUUGUAUUGAAGACAGCGUAACCCCCAAGAGGAAAGGAGCUUGGAGCCCUGAAUCAGAGUAGAAGACAGGCUGAAUGAAUACCAGCCUUGGACUGUUGUGUGAAUGAAAAACAAGUUUUGAGAUUUGUG
rnacentral:lncRNA from 1 species